AUUGAACGCUGGCGGCAGGCCUAACACAUGCAAGUCGAGCGGAUGAAGGGAGCUUGCUCCUGGAUUCAGCGGCGGACGGGUGAGUAAUGCCUAGGAAUCUGCCUGGUAGUGGGGGAUAACGUCCGGAAACGGGCGCUAAUACCGCAUACGUCCUGAGGGAGAAAGUGGGGGAUCUUCGGACCUCACGCUAUCAGAUGAGCCUAGGUCGGAUUAGCUAGUUGGUGGGGUAAAGGCCUACCAAGGCGACGAUCCGUAACUGGUCUGAGAGGAUGAGCAGUCACACUGGAACUGAGACACGGCCCAGACUCCGACGGGAGGCAGCAGUGGGGAAUAUUGGAAAAUGGGCGAAAGCCUGAUCCAGCCAUGCCGCGUGUGUGAAGAAGGGCUUCGGAUUGUAAAGCACUUUAAGUGGGGAGGAAGGGCAGUAAGUUAAUACCUUGCUGUUUUGACGUUACCAACAGAAUAAGCACCGGCUAACUUCGU
rnacentral:rRNA from 1 species